CGCGUAGGCGGCCUUCUAAGUCGAACGUGAAAUCCCCGGGCUCAACCCGGGAACUGCGUCCGAGACUGGAAGGCUCGAAUCCGGGAGAGGGAUGUGGAAUUCCAGGUGUAGCGGUGAAAUGCGUAGAUAUCUGGAGGAACAUCGGUGGCGAAGGCGGCAUCCUGGACCGGUAUUGACGCUGAGGCGCGAAAGCCAGGGGAGCAAACG
rnacentral:rRNA from 1 species